UAUUGCUGGUGCUCUUGCUCCACCAUUUCUCAGCACCUGACCAUUGAUGGUUCCUCUCCCCCUUGUGGUCAGAUCUGACUCUGCCCUCAGGUCCCUCCCACUUUCCCACCUCUCUCUCCCCAGUACCUGCAGGCACCUAAGGGACACAGAGCUCAGACCCUAACCUGCCCUCUGCCACCCACCCAGUCUCCUUCCAGCAGGUGCAGCCGGGAAGUCACCCUGGGCUUCUCUCCACAGGUGGGAAGCAGAACCAUGCUGGGUCCCCUCGCCUUCCUGUGCGCCCUCCUGUUUCCCGGCAGCUGGGCAGCGAUCAGCCUGGGGCAGCCCUCUAUGGUCGUGGCGCAGGCAGGCCGCUCAGCCACUCUGUGGUGCAAAGCCAGCACCAAGGUCAGCUACAUCCACUGGUACCACCACCAGGAAGGUGCGGCCCCCAAGAGGCUCCUCAGACUGGACAUGUCUGGAACGUUUGUGCAGAGAGAUGGGGGCCUGAAAGCGGACAAAGUCAAUGCCAAGAGGGGCAAGGGUAGCAACAGCUGUGACCUGUCCGUGCUGAAGCUGGAGAAGAGCGACGAGGGCGUGUACUACUGUGCUGCCUGGGAAGCUCACAGCUGCAUGUGCUGCUCCGCUCCCUGAGCAAAAAGGUUUCUGAUUCCUCGGUCCCUGCCUGCCUGGCACCUUCCACUUGCUCUGGAUCCCUGGGGUUGCCCUGAGUCAGCCCUCAGCACCCCUGGCUGUUAUGGACAGGCCAUUUAAGAUUCUGACCACACCCCCUGAAGAAUGUGGGAAUAAAAUAUCGUGCAAAUAAUUUCAAGGCCGAGAGACUCUCUGGGGAUUCCGCACAAAAUGGGUGCAAGCCGAGACUGGAAGGCAGCUCCUGACUCCAGUUUCUAAGUUGCCGCCCCGCCCACCGCUGGUUCCUGUGCAGAGAGAGAGACUCCUUGAUCAGAAGCCCAAGAAACAGUGUGGCUAACUUCGCAGCACCCUCGCCCAAGCCUGGCGCUCACUCUCCUGCGGGGGAAAUGAUCCUCAGGGCAGGUGCACGCAUCGGCCCUGGACGAGACCCCGGGCCCUCCGCCUUCCCCGUCUCCUUGAAAGUGACUCCAUAUGGGAUUUGGGGACCAGCUUCCCUGGACCUCUGUUCUCUCCUCUGUAAAGUGAGGAGGUUUAACUGCUACAAUGUGUGACUGAUUUUUGUAUUAAAGAAAAAUUAUACCAAAAAUAUAUCACUAUGUUCACUAACUUCUUAUAAAAUUAGUCAACUUCUUGAC